AGUAGCAAUCCUCAUUGACAUAGCCCGCCCGCUGGUACGAGCCAACACGGGACAGGCAAGUCAUUCAAGGUGAUGCGCCACUCUUUGACAAACCCUCCUGAUCCCAAUGGCAAAGCCGAUUCAGGCAAGACAGUAGGUCAUGUUAACUUUUGCAAACCCUCCUGAUGGCCUCUGCUAAAUCAGGCAAGACAGUAGGCAUUGUUAACUUUGACAAACCCUCCCGAUGGCAAGGCCAAUAUAGGCAAGACAGUAAGCGUUGUUAACUUUGACAAACCCUCCCGAUGGCAAGGCCAAAUCAGGCAAGACAGGAUGCAUUGUUAAUUUUGACAAACCCUCCCGAUGGCAAAGCCUUUCAGGCAAGACAGUAAGCAUUGUUAACUUUGACAAACCCUCCCGAUGGCAAGGCCGUUUCAGGCAAGACAGUAAGCAUUGUUAACUUUGACAAACCCUCCCGAUGGCAAGGCCAAAUCAGGCAAGACAGUAAGCAUUGUUAACUUUGGCAAACCCUCCCGAUGGCAAGGCCAAACCAGGCAAGACAGCAAGUCAUGUUAAGAGAGGCACAAACGCUAAAUGAGGGCAAAACAAGGAUCCCAUGAGACCCCAUGCCCACAUCGUUUUCCAUAUCCAGGAUACCAAGCAACGCUCAAUGGGCCACAACAUCAACGCAAGCGUAAUGUUGUGGAUCAAAGAGACCGCUUUGGGGUUCAUCCGAUGCCACUAAAAUGGCACGAGACGAAAUUAACUGCAAUCAACCAAGACAAUACCAUUGCUUAGGUACGCAACACAGAAACCCACUAAUAGGCCAGGCAAUAGA
rnacentral:misc_RNA from 1 species